rnacentral:rRNA from 1 species
UACGUAGGUGGCAAGCGUUGUCCGGAAUUAUUGGGCGUAAAGCGCGCGCAGGCGGUCCUUUAAGUCUUGUGUGAAAUCCCUCGGCUUAACUGAGGAACUGCACGGGAUACUGGAAGACUUGAGUUCGGGAGAGGGAAGCGGAAUUCCGGGUGUAGCGGUGAAAUGCGUAGAUAUCCGGAGGAACACCGGUGGCGAAGGCGGCUUCCUGGACCGAUUACUGACGCUGAAGCGCGAAAGCUAGGGGAGCAAACGGG